UUUAAUGCCGUCAAUAUUAUUUAAGAAUUCAAUUGGAUACAGAGAAUAUUAGCAAGGCCCCUGCACUAGUUUGACAAGCAAAAUUAUGAAGCGUUCCACAUUUAA